rnacentral:rRNA from 1 species
UGCGUAGGCGGAUUAAUAAGUCAGUGGUGAAAACCCGCAGCUUAACUGUAGAACUGCCAUUGAUACUGUUAGUCUUGAGUACGGUCAAGGUAGGCGGAAUGUGUAAUGUAGCGGUGAAAUGCUUAGAUAUUACACAGAACACCGAUUGCGAAGGCAGCUUACUGGACCAUUACUGACGCUGAGGCACGAAAGCGUGGGGAGCGAACAGGAUUAGAUACCCUGGUAGUCC